rnacentral:rRNA from 1 species
AAAAUGCAAGGCUGAUCAGAGAAAAAUUUGGCUUGUGCAGGUAGGGAAGUAUUGCUCAAAUCAGUGGUUCAGUCCAUUCCUACUUCCAGCAUGACUUGUUUUCAAUUGACCAAGACAGUUUGUUCGCAACUUACAACUUCUAUGGCGAAAUACUGGUGGAGUAGUUCCAUUGACAAUCGAAGUUUGCACUGGUUGUCAUGGGAAAAUCUCUAUGUACCAAAGAUGAAAGGAGGCAUGGGUUUUUGGGAUUUCGAACAGUUCAACUUAGCGCUAUUAGGCAAGCACGGGUGGCGGCUUAUGACACAUCCCAACUAAUUGUGCUCUAGCGUGCUGAAGGGAAAGUACUUUCACAACUGUGAUUUUAUGGAGGAGCAUGCGCCCCGCUCGACAUCAGCUACAUGGAAGGCAAUCAUUGCUUGCUGA